rnacentral:rRNA from 1 species
UUGGAGGGCAAGUCUGGUGCCAGCAGCCGCGGUAAUUCCAGCUCCAAUAGCGUAUAUUAAAGUUGUUGCAGUUAAAAAGCUCGUAGUUGAAUUUCGGGGUCAGUAGGUUGGUCGUGCCACUGGCAUGCACUGGUCUCACUGAUUCCUCCUUCCUGAUGAACCGUAAUGCCAUUAAUUUGGUGUUGCGGGGAAUCUGGACUGUUACUUUGAAAAAAUUAGAGUGUUUAAAGCAGGCUAACGCUUGAAUACAUUAGCAUGGAAUAAUGAAAUAGGACGAUCGAUCCUAUUUUGUUGGUUUCUAGGAUUGACGUAAUGAUUAAUAGGGAUAGUUGGGGGCAUUAGUAUUCAAUUGUCAGAGGUGAAAUUCUUGGAUUUAUUGAAGACUAACUACUGCGAAAGCAUUUGCCAAGGAUGUUUUCAUUAAUCAAGAACGAAAGUUAGGGGAUCGAAGACGAUCAGAUACCGUCGUAGUCUUAACCAUAAACUAUGCCGACUAGGGAUCGGAUGAUGUUAAUUUUUUAAUGACUCAUUCGGCGCCUUACGGGAAA